rnacentral:rRNA from 1 species
UACGGGGGGGGCAAGCGUUGUUCGGAAUUACUGGGCGUAAAGGGCUCGUAGGCGGCCAACUAAGUCAGACGUGAAAUCCCUCGGCUUAACCGGGGAACUGCGUCUGAUACUGGAUGGCUUGAGUUUGGGAGAGGGAUGCGGAAUUCCAGGUGUAGCGGUGAAAUGCGUAGAUAUCUGGAGAAACACCGGUGGCGAAGGCGGCAUCCUGGACCAACACUGACGCUGAGUGAGCGAAAGCCAGGGGAGCAAACGGGG